UCCUACGGGAGGCAGCAGUAAGGAAUAUUGGUCAAUGGGCGCAAGCCUGAACCAGCCAUGCCGCGUGCAGGAAGACGGCCCUAUGGGUUGUAAACUGCUUUUGUCAGGGAAUAAACCCCCGCUCGUGAGCGGGGCUGAAGGUACCUGAAGAAUAAGCAUCGGCUAACUCCGUGCCAGCAGCCGCGGUAAUACGGAGGAUGCAAGCGUUAUCCGGAUUCAUUGGGUUUAAAGGGUGCGCAGGCGGAUUGGUAAGUCAGGGGUGAAAUCCCACAGCUCAACUGUGGAACUGCCUUUGAUACUGUCAGUCUAGAGUAUAGUUGAAGUUGGCGGAAUGUGUCAUGUAGCGGUGAAAUGCUUAGAUAUGACACAGAACACCGAUCGCGAAGGCAGCUAGCUAAGCUAUAACUGACGCUCAUGCACGAAAGCGUGGGGAUCAAACAGGAUUAGAUACCCUGGUAGUCCACGCUGUAAACGAUGAUUACUCGAUGUUGGCGAUACACAGUCAGCGUCUGAGCGAAAGCAAUAAGUAAUCCACCUGGGGAGUACGAUCGCAAGAUUAAACUCAAAGGA
rnacentral:rRNA from 1 species